rnacentral:miRNA from 1 species
CAUCGGCCCAAUGUUGCGUUGCU